GUAGGAAUGUAUUAUAUGUGAGCCACUGCUGGACCACAAAGGGGAAUUAGGAUAGCAUAUUUUUUUCUAUCCGUUAGGAAUAUUCAAAAUAUUUUCAACAUGUCCUUGUUAAGUGAUAGAUUCCUUUUCAAUAUAAUAUUUUCUUUAACCACAGAAUAUUAGGAGCUAUGCUAAGUAAUUAUUUCCGAAAUAAAUAUUUUAGAUGAGUCAAAUAGUGAGCUAUAUAAUAAUAAUAAUAAUAAAUAUUAUUUAUAGAGCCCUUACUGAAAUGAGAAAAGUUCCCUUAUCCCCAUCUCAGGGCCUGCGAUGGGAGUGUGGCUCACUUCUUCGGUGCCCCUGCUCAUAUCCCUAGGGUGUGCAUGCAGACGGGCAGGUCGUGAGGCGGGCACCGACCCCACGGCUGCAUCUAGGGUUUAGUGUUUACAGCUCCUGAAGCCCCAGUGGGCAUGUGUUACAGUGCACUCUUUCAGUUUUGCCAUCUGCAGGUGGCUUGCAUUAAUCAGCUCGAUUAGACUCUCUGCCUUAUUGCAAGGACAGAGGGCUUUCUGUAUUCCAGGCUCUCAUCUGAGUGUACUGGAAAAAUCGAAUCACACGUGGGCUUGGAGAAUGAGUGCAAAGUUUUACUGAAGGAUGGAGGUAGAUCUCAGCAGAUGGAUGGGGAGCUAGAAGGGGGAUGGAGUGGGAAGGUGGUCUUCCUCUGAAGUUGGCCGCCCAGCAGCUGGACUCUCCUCCAACCACUGCUGGCCAAAUUCUGCGUUGUCCUACCUGGUCUACAGGCGUCUGUUCCUCCUCAUCAGUGUGCACUUCCGCUACUCUGCUCCUCUUGAUAUCCAGCCGCCUGUGUGUGUUCUUCUGCAGUGUGUUCCUCUCGACGUCCAGCGCUCGAGUCUGUGACCACUAGGGUCUGGGUUUUUUUUUUUUUUUUUUUUUUUUUGAGAUGGAGUCUCGCUCUGUGGCCCAGGCAGUGACACGAUCUCGGCUCACUGCAAGUUCCGCCUCCCGGGUUCAUGCCAUUCUCCUGCCUCAGCCUCCCGAGUAGCUGGGACCACAGGUGCCCGCCACCACGCUUGGCUAAUUUUUUGUAUUUUUAGUAGAGACGGGGUUUCACCGUGUUAGCCAGGAUGGUCUCGAUCUCCUGACCUCGUGAUCCACCUGUCUCGGCCUUCCAAAGUGCUGGGAUUACAGGCAUGAGCCACCGCGCCCGGCCAGGUCUCAGGGUUUUUAUAGUCACAGAAUGGGGUACGUGGGGGGCCAGGGUGGUCUUGGAAAAUGCGACAUUUGGGUGCAAAAACAGGAGUGCCUGUCCUCACCUAGGUAUGUGGGCACAGGUCCAAGGGUGGAGCCCUUGCCAGGGACCCCACCCUUCUCUACCCAGCACUUCUGUGCCCCCAUCCCAUAUCAUUAUCAUGUGCUAGGCAUUCUUUUAAGCACUUGAGAUGGGUCUACUUAAAAAUAAAAAUAUGUGUGUGUGUGUGUGUGUGUGUGUGUGUUUGUGUGUGUGUAUCUAUCUGUAUGUACAUAUGUAAUCAUAUGUUAUAAUCUUCUGAAAAAGGUGAAAUCACAUUGAACAUUCCUAAGAGCUAUGGAAACAUUCAUCUGGCUGAGCUCCUGUAGGGUCACUUCUGCUGAACUAGAGUGAUUAACUUCUACCUCUAACAUUCUCCAAAUUGGAAAAAUAUGGUUAAUUUUAUAAAACGUAAGUGUGCUAAAUUAAAAAAAAAAUCCAGAAAAAACUUCCUAGGAUUGAAACUGGUUUUAGAGAACAUACUCUCAAACUAAAUUUAUUUUUGUUUUAAAAAUACUACCUUAACUGUAUAACAUAUAAAUGGAUAAUAUUCUCUAACUGAACUCGUGUUUAGCUUCACAUGUAAAACCUACAUAGAACUUCCUUACCAAUAUGCACAAGGUAUAAAAGGUUAAUAGAAUGUUUUUAAAAACUGAAAUAAUGACACUAAGGCAGCUGUCUAUGCCUGGAUGGAUUUGUGCACAAAACAAUGAAACUAAUUACAGACUCUAAGCCCACAUAUAUAGUGCUGUUUUUAUUAUCUCACACAGCCUACAUAAAUUAAAUAACUAGUAAAUUUAAGAGCCAUAUCAAAAUAUCUGAACACAGUAAUUUGGUCCUAUGUCUUAAAAUAAUUCUUAAUAUUUUUCUAUACGUAUUCAAAUAGCCCAUUUUUUUCUCUGAUCAAAUCCUCAACAUCUUCCCAAGUACUAUCUCUACUGACUUUGAAUUUUAGUCAUCACAAUGACCAUUUAAUGAACACCAUGCAUUGUACUAGGUACUCCAUGUACAUUAGCUCUUUAAACAAUUACAACAACUCUAUGAAAAUAUCUUCCAUUCUACCAGUGAGAAAGCAUGUUUCCAUAAAAGUUGAAGAAUACAGAGGUGACAAAUUUAGAGAAUGAA
rnacentral:lncRNA from 10 species